rnacentral:rRNA from 2 species
UGGGGAAUAUUGGGCAAUGGGGGAAACCCUGACCCAGCAACGCCGCGUGAGGGAAGAAGGCUUUCGGGUUGUAAACCUCUGUCCCAUGGGACGAAAGAAAUGACGGUACCAUGGGAGGAAGCCCCGGCUAACUACGUGCCAGCAGCCGCGGUAAGACGUAGGGGGCAAGCGUUGUCCGGAAUUACUGGGCGUAAAGGGUGCGUAGGCGGCGAUGCAAGUCUAAUGUGAAAUACCCGUGCUUAACAUGGGGAUUGCAAUGGAAACUGUGUUGCUAGAGUGCAGGAGAGGUAAGCGGAAUUCCUAGUGUAGCGGUGAAAUGCAUAGAUAUUAGGAGGAACACCAGUGGCGAAGGCGGCUUACUGGACUGUAACUGACGCUGAAGCACGAAAGCGUGGGGAGCGAACAGG